rnacentral:lncRNA from 1 species
GGACCUUAGGUCCACCAUCUUAAAGCUUUAUGUUAACCUUCCUUGUACAGCCCCUUUCAUCUGAGGGGUUACCCUUUUAUUCGUCUGACUCUCUUUCUCACUCUCUACGUUUUUAGGUAAAGAGGCUUCUCUUUCUCUCUCAUCAACAGCUCAUCCAUCCCUCGCUCAUCAACGCAUUUUUCACAUUUCUCUUCUCUCCCGAAGAGGCCUCUGUUACUCUCUCUUGUAUUUACACAACUUCCUCAUCCUUUUCCCUAUCUCUACUCUCUGUACUGGACCUUAUGCAUCUAUAACCUCACUCUCUAACCAUGGCCUAUGAACCGUACACAUGAGAUUACGAUGACACAUAUGAUAAGCCCACAUCCACAAUUGAUGCUUCCCCAGUUUCGGAGUUAAAGUAAGUGACAUUAUUAUCUUGAAAAAUAAUCCAUUUUUUUUAAAAUUAAAUGAAAUAAUUAUUUUUGUUUUUUAUACGCACGCGAUUUCAUUAUUUU